UGAAAAGCAGCAGGACUGCUGGCCUCCAGGGCCAGAUCUGAGUAGCCACUGCUUUUACUGUGACACUUAUGAAUCACAGAGGAAGAGGGCCUUGAUGGACCAGAUGGAAAUGUGCUGCCAGGUUUCACCAAUCAUCCUGGAAAGCUUCGUUUAAGGUUUUGGAAACAUUUUCCCCCCAUGAAACCACCACUAGAGGAGGCAGCCCAGAAGACCACUGGCAAACAGAUAAUCUUGUUUGAGGAGGUGAGAUGAGAGACGGAGGAAAGUGCGUUAUAAAGCUGUCUGUGUGGAGGGAGCCGUGCACGCCAUGCCAGGCUGCAGCCGGAAUGCUGGUGGAGGGAAUGGCGGUGGAGGGAAGGCCGCUGCAGGGAAUGGCGGUGGAGGGAAGGCCGCUGCAGGGAAUGGCGGUGGAGGGAAGGCCGCUGCAGGCAAUGGCGGUGGAGGGAAGGCCGCUGCAGGCAAUGGCGGUGGAGGGAAGGCCGCUGCAGGGAAUGGCGGUGGAGGGAAGGCCGUUGCAGGGAAUGGCGGUGGAGGGAAGGCCGUUGCAGGGAAUGGCGGUGGAGGGAAUGCCGCUUCAGGGAAUGCCGCUGCAGGGAAUGCCGGUGGAGGGAAGGCCGCUGGCACGUUGCCGGCCUGUUCUGGCCCCUCAGCCGCGGCUCUUUCUGGGUCCCUCUCUUCCACAGAGAGCAUCCUGGGAAAUUAUGACUGGUUAAAACUGGAAAUGUUUUUAUUUUGUAUUUUUUAUGAUAUGACACGAUUAGCUUAUUUUUGUGUCCGUACUUGCUUCAGUCGUACAGGCUGCUAGCGGUGUGCACACAGGGCUGCCGUUUCCACUGUUGCCGGGCGACCUUUUUCUCCCAGCGCUCAUGGCUGAUUGGCUGGAGCUUUGCGUUUCCUCUCUCUACAGUGAUGGCAUGAUGGAGUUCUUGACUGCGUGUAUGCAUGUUGUACUAUGCGUCAUGUGACUGCGUGUAUGCAUGCUCGACCAUGCAUCACAUGACUGCGUGUAUGCAUGUUCUGCCAUGCGUCUCAUGUGGCUCCUCAUGCCUGUACCAAGAGCUGGCUCAGACAUCUCUUUAGUUUAAGUUCUGGUUUGUUGGUUAUUGAGUUACGGAUGUACUUGUUUCUGUUUUUUCAAAUAAACAGAUGAUAAUGUUUUUCUUGA